UUUUUUUGGAUAAAUCGACUGUGUGACGGGCUGGCUCAAGCUUGAAAAGACUGGAAAAGUUGUAUUUUCUCACCUGCAAAAGGUUGGCUGAGCUUACAAAUUGCAGUGCUUUAAUUUGAGGAUUCAUUUGAUUGAAAAGUGGUUAGUUGCAGGCAUGCAUGUUAUGAGUGAAGGCCAGGUGACACUGUCAAGAUUUUGCUUUGCUUCAAGUAUGUAAAACAUUUGUCUGUUGCAUUAUUCCAAUGUUUUCGAGGCAUGGAUUUGUUGAUAUGUUUUCGAUGGACUUUCAUUUUGGUCACAGCAGGCCAUCGAUCGGAGUUGAUUGGUAUCAGUACCUGCAGAAAGCAAAGCCAAUACAGUGGUGC